UCUGAAAUAUGUUCUGUUUUUUCUCCCUCUGCUUGCUUCUUACUGUCUUUGAGGCUCGGGACCAGCACUCCUGCUGUUGGACAGAAAGACAUCAACUUGAGAUAUGACUGCACUGUGCUGUUGCUGGUGACCACAGUUAAUUCUACAAGACAUGCUGUGACACCAGGAGAGAUGAGUCCUCCAUCACAGAUGGUGUGGUCAGUGAAGGUGGUCACCUGCAGGUUCAAGCUCAUUGCAUCUCCAACCCACAUCCACUGCAACUG